GAAAAGAAACCAACAGGGAAUGCUUAGUAGCGGCGAGUGAGCGGCAAAAGCUCAAAUUUGAAAUCUGGCGCCUUCGGUGUCCGAGUUGUAAUUUGAAGAUUGUAACCUUGGGGUUGGCUCUUGUCUAUGUUUCUUGGAACAGGACGUCACAGAGGGUGAGAAUCCCGUGCGAUGAGAUGCCCAAUUCUAUGUAAGGUGCUUUCGAAGAGUCGAGUUGUUUGGGAAUGCAGCUCUAAGUGGGUGGUAAAUUCCAUCUAAAGCUAAAUAUUGGCGAGAGACCGAUAGCGAACAAGUACAGUGAUGGAAAGAUGAAAAGAACUUUGAAAAGAGAGUGAAAAAGUACGUGAAAUUGUUGAAAGGGAAGGGUUUGAGAUCAGACUCGAUAUUUUGUGAGCCUUGCCUUCGUGGCGGGGUGACCCGCAGCUUAUCGGGCCAGCAUCGGUUUGGGCGGUAGGAUAAUGGCGUAGGAAUGUGACUUUACUUCGGUGAAGUGUUAUAGCCUGCGUUGAUGCUGCCUGCCUAGACCGAGGACUGCGAUUUUAUCAAGGAUGCUGGCAUAAUGAUCCCAAACCGCCCGU
rnacentral:rRNA from 1 species